GAGUUUGAUUAUGGCUCAGGAUGAACGCUGGCGGCGUGCCUAACACAUGCAAGUCGAACGAAGCACUGCGGAUGGAGAUUCGUCAAAAUCUGCUUUGACUUAGUGGCGGACGGGUGAGUAAUGUGUGAGCAACCUGCCUUUCAGAGGGGGACAACAGUUGGAAACGACUGCUAAUACCGCAUAAUGUAUUGGGAGGGCAUCCUUUUGAUACCAAAGGAGCAAUCCGCUGAAAGAUGGGCUCACAUCUGAUUAGCUAGUUGGUGGGGUAACGGCCUACCAAGGCUGCGAUCAGUAGCCGGACUGAGAGGUUGAACGGCCACAUUGGGACUGAGAUACGGCCCAGACUCCUACGGGAGGCAGCAGUGGGGAAUAUUGGGCAAUGGGCGAAAGCCCUGACCCAGCAACGCCGCGUGAAGGAAGAAGGUCUUCGGAUUGUAAACUUCUUUUAUGAGGGACGAAGGACGUGACGGUACCUCAUGAAUAAGCCACGGCUAACUACGUGCCAGCAGCCGC
rnacentral:rRNA from 1 species